UACCCGCAGCACAAGUGUUGGUCAUUAUUAUUGGGCCUAAAGCGUCCGUAGCUGGCUUGUUAGAUGCCUGGGUAAAUCGAUGCGCUCAACGUAUCGACUUCCGGGUAGACCGGCAAGCUCGAGACCGGGAGAGGUGUAGGCUACUCGAGGGGUAGGGGUAAAAUCCUGUAAUCCUUCGGGGAGGACCAGUGGCGAAGGCGCUACACUAGAACGGCUCUGACAGUGAGGGACGAAGCCCUGGGGCGCAAACCGG
rnacentral:rRNA from 1 species